CUUUUAGCAUAAAAUCUUCUCUUUCCCUAUAGAACAGAGCAACCAGUUUGAAGUAUCAAUAACCCUGAAAAAAAAAGUUGAAGCUUUUAAAAUAAGUUUGUUCUUGACAAGAAUGUCACCUGCCAUUCAUUUCUGUAUCACCUAAGUAAAGAUUUUAAACUGUUCCCUCAGAAUCUUCAUCACUCCAUAGAUGUUUGCAGGGUUCUUCUCUACAGCUCAAAGAAACACUUCUAUCACUAAAACUGCAAUGCUGACAGAAGUUUAAAAAGAGAAAAUGCAAGGACAGAAGAGUAGGAAUGUCAGCUGGCUAACUCUGGAGUUCAGUGACUCUUCAAAGACAAGAUCUCUUACUGCAGAGGCCCUCUUCAUCUCAUUGAUGAGCCAGAAUUAAAGUUUAUGUGGCACACUGGAUGAGGCACUGGAUCUAGAGUGAGGAAGAGCUGAGCUCAUAUCCAGCAUCAGAUUGUUACUGGCUAUGUGACUGGGCAAAUCACCCAACUUCUAUUUGUUUUCAAUUUCCUCAUCUAUAAAGCAGGAAUAAUACUGUCACCUUCAUCUAGGU
rnacentral:lncRNA from 1 species